UACGUAGGGUGCAAGCGUUAAUCGGAAUUACUGGGCGUAAAGCGUGCGCAGGCGGUUAUUCAAGACAGAUGUGAAAUCCCCGGGCUCAACCUGGGAACUGCAUUUGUGACUGGAUGACUAGAGUACGGGCAGAGGGGGAUGGAAUUCCGCGUGUAGCAGUGAAAUGCGUAGAUAUGCGGAGGAACACCGAUGGCGAAGGCGGUUCUCUGGGCCUGUGCUGACGCUGAGGAGCGAAAGCGUGGGGAGCGAACAGG
rnacentral:rRNA from 1 species